GAUGAACGCUGGCGGCGUGCCUAAUACAUGCAAGUCGAGCGAACAGACGAGGAGCUUGCUCCUCUGACGUUAGCGGCGGACGGGUGAGUAACACGUGGAUAACCUACCUAUAAGACUGGGAUAACUUCGGGAAACCGGAGCUAAUACCGGAUAACAUGUUGAACCGCAUGGUUCAACAGUGAAAGACGGUCUUGCUGUCACUUAUAGAUGGAUCCGCGCCGCAUUAGCUAGUUGGUAAGGUAACGGCUUACCAAGGCAACGAUGCGUAGCCGACCUGAGAGGGUGAUCGGCUACACUGGAACUGAGACACGGUCCAGACUCCUACGGGAGGCAGCAGUAGGGAAUCUUCCGCAAUGGGCGAAAGCCUGACGGAGCAACGCCGCGUGAGUGAUGAAGGUCUUCGGAUCGUAAAACUCUGUUAUUAGGGAAGAACAAAUGUGUAAGUAACUAUGCACGUCUUGACGGUACCUAAUCAGAAAGCCACGGCUAACUACGUG
rnacentral:rRNA from 1 species